GUGUUUAUCCCAGCAAACAUGCAUAUAUGGGACCCAUAUGGGCUAUAUCUAGGCAAGCCCAUAUGGGUAUGCCCAUAUUGGACCUAUAUGGGACCAAUAUGGGCAAGUCCAUUUGGGUACGCCCAUAUUGGACCCAUAUGGGUCCCAUAUUACAGCACUAUAAGGAAAAACGAUUUUUCGUUUAUUUAUUUCUUUAGAACUUGUUUACUUUGAGCUAUAGUGUGACCACCUUGGCAUAAAUUGCUAUUAUCUUUUAUAAAAAUCGUAGCAUUAACAUAUAUACAAGCCAUGAGGGACCCAUAUGGGUCCCAUUCGGGCAACCCAAUAAAUAUUAGCAUGCCUGAGCAGGUGCGAGAAAUUAAUUUGUUUAGUUUUUAUAUUGGUUUUAAUUUUUAUAAUCUAAAUAUAAAAAUGUGUUUUUAGACUAUUAAUUCAGAAAUAAUUUAUAAAAAUCAGCAUUUGAUGAAAAAUUUAUUUCGAGCAUGCGCAGACGUGAUUUCCGCUGCCGCUUAAAAUCAAAUUGUGUAUUGAAACGUUAAAUUGUAAAAUUGUACACGAAAACAAUAUUUCAUUUCAAUUCGGAACAUUUAACGACGAUUUCGUAUAACGACCUUUCAUAUUAUAUCCUUACAGAUUUAUUGUGUGUGUAGGCCAUCAAAAAGGCUGUAUGAAUCGGAUAGUGGCACUGAUGAGAAUGAGACAGACACAGAGAGUAGGCCACCACAAGUUAUUGACCAAGCAACAACGCCCAAAGAGUCACAAAGCCUACUUUCAUCUCCGCCUCGCUUAUCUGCACAGGCAUUGCGAGAGGCCAGCAGUGAUGUGCAAAGUGCUUCUCCAAUACAAGGUGCUUCUGAUACACCCUUCCGUGGGCAGAUUAUUGGGCCCACUGCUGUUACACAGAUUCUCCGAGUCUUUGAGACAAUGCGAGAGAAGAAUCGUGAAAUUAAGAGGAUGGUGCAGCGAAUGCUGUUAAGGUCAGCAGCAGAUGACCAACCGCUGCAACUUCCGAAAGAUAUCUCAUUCCCUAUUCGUUAUCCUGAGCAGAUGGAAGCAUUCGAUAAGCUUCUGGGAGAUCAGACAAUACUCUCAUCUGUGGUGCGGUUCCUCUCAAUGUUUGGUAUGGCAGAUGUACGGGAAACUGUUGACCGCUUUUGAUGAAAGAAACCAUGUCAA